GUCCACGCCGUAAACGGUGGGUGCUAGGUGUAGGGGGUAUUCCACGCCCUCUGUGCCGCAGCUAACGCAUUAAGCACCCCGCCUGGGGAGUACGGCCGCAAGGCUAAAAACUCAAAGGAAUUGACGGGGGCCCGCACAAGCAGCGGAGCAUGUGGCUUAAUUCGACGCAACGCGAAGAACCUUACCAAGGCUUGACAUGCAGGGAAAUCUCCAGAGAUGGGAGUCCGCAAGGGUCCUGCACAGGUGGUGCAUGGUUGUCGU
rnacentral:rRNA from 1 species